CGGUACCUACGGGGGGCAGCAGUGGGGAAUAUUGCACAAUGGGCGAAAGCCUGAUGCAGCAACGCGGCGUGAGCGAUGAAGGCCUUCGGGUCGUAAAGCUCUGUCCUCAAGGAAGAUAAUGACGGUACUUGAGGAGGAAGCCCCGGCUAACUACGUGCCAGCAGCCGCGGUAAUACGUAGGGGGCUAGCGUUAUCCGGAAUUACUGGGCGUAAAGGGGGCGAAGGGGGUUUCUUAAGUCAGAGGUGAAAGGCUACGGCUCAACCGUAGUAAGCCUUUGAAAC
rnacentral:rRNA from 1 species